GUACAGGGACGCCGGAACGAUAAUAGGGCAAAGGGGGGCGGACGCACACCAAGGGCACCUUUACUGAAAAAUUUUUUUUCACUGCAAAUAUUUUUUUGGCGACUUCCCCCCCCCCGUCGCCAAAAAAAUUUCGGUCAGUAUACCAUUUUAGGGGGGUCAAAAAAAUUUUCCGGACAUACAAAAAUUUUCCGUGAAGCCAAAAAUUUUUCCGGAUAUCUUAAAUUUUCGCCAUUU